AUACCUUUCUCGGCCUUUUGGCUAAGAUCAAGUGUAGUAUCUGUUCUUAUCAGUUUAAUAUCUGAUACGUGGGUCAUUGGCCCACAUGAUAUUAAAUUUAUUUUUUGAGGGGGAGAGCCCAAUACAGUAGCUUGCUACUGGGGUUCUCGAGCGUCGCCUGUACGUUGCACUACUGCACAGGCCUGGCGCACCCCAC
rfam:Ricinus communis cultivar Hale ctg_1100012361004, whole genome shotgun sequence.